rnacentral:rRNA from 1 species
UUAUUAUUUUUUAAUAAAAGUAAUUUAUUUUUUAGUAGUUUUUAUGGGAAUAAUUUGUUUGAUUUUAGUUUAUAGUACUGUGAAGGAAUUUUUUAAUUUUGUUUGAAGUAGUUUUUAUUUAAUGUACCUUUUGUAUCAGGGUCGAUUAAAUUAUUAAUAUCUAUUUUAUUUUUCCCGAAAGGGAGAGAGAUAGAUUAAAAUGCUAUUUUUUGUUUCAAAAAAAUUGGUAAUUUUAAUUUAGUAAUGAUAUGUUAUUCAUUCUUUCUAUAUCUGGUUUUCUUAGAAUUUAAUUUAAUUAAGGCUUAAUUUUAAUUUUUUGUAUUUCAUUAUUUGUUUUAAGCUAAGAUUUUGGGGGAUAAGCUCUGGAUUUAUUUCUAUAAUUAUUGUUUAUGUUGGAGUAUUGUAGGCUUAGAAUCAGCCAUCACUAAUUUCGUUAUAGAUUAUCUUUUUUUUGUUUUUAUUUUUUUUUAUUUAGUUAUUUAUAGGAUUAAUUUAUAUAAUUUUAUUUUAUUUGUGAUAAUGAUUGAAUUAGUAGUUUUAAUAAUUAGUUUAUAGUAACUAGGCAAUUUUAGUUUCCGCCUGUUUAACAAAAACAUGUCCUUUUGUAUUUAUUUAUUUAAGGUCUGACCUGCCCAAUGAUUUUUUGAAUGGCCGCGGUAUAUUAACCGUGCUAAGGUAGCAUAAUCAUUUGUCUUUUAAUUAAGGGCUUGUAUGAAUGGUUGGACGAGAUACUAUCUUUCUUUAAAUUAAUUUUUUGAAUUUAAUUUUCUGGUUAAAAAGCUUGAAUGUUUUAAUGGGACGAGAAGACCCUGUAGAUCUUUAAUUUGAGUUUUCUUAAUUUAAUUUAGUUGUUUGACUUAUUUAAGUUAAUUUUUAUUUGAGUUGGGGCGAUUGCGGAAUUUUAAUAACUUCUGUUUAUAUUUAUCAUUUAUUAGUGAGUUAAUGAUCCAUUAUUAUUGAUUAUAAGAUUAAGGUACCUCAGGGAUAACAGCGUAAUUCCAUUGGAUAGUUCGUAUUGAUAGUGGAGUUUGCGACCUCGAUGUUGGAUUAAAAUAAGUAGUAGGUGUAGCAUCUUACUUACUAGGUCUGUUCGACCUUUAAAUUUUUACAUGAUCUGAGUUCAGACCGGCGUGAGCCAGGUCAGUUUCUAUCUUUUAAUAUAUAAAAUAUCCUAGUACGAAAGGACCGGGUAUUUAAAUUAAAUUUUUGUAUUUUGAUUAAUAUUACUAUCUUGGCAGAUAAGUGCGU